CACUUCCUUCCCAGAGGCACUACACACACCCCUGGGAACUAUACUUCUCGGGUGGAAGCCAGGCAUUAACUUGCUUCUCUCCCCUCUAAAAUGUUCUCUGUCCUGGAGGUGGCCCGCUUUGCUCCGCUUGAUCACAUGCUGACCAUCCUGAAGGCCCAGGGAACCGGCACCUGCGUUACAAAAUCAUCUUGAUGCCCUUCAGACAGCCCAAAAGGACGAAGAUGCAAGGCAUGCAUAUGUCAUUUGGUCAAAGAACGAUGAGAAAUCAAACUGUACUCUCUGCAAGUGCCAACGAAUUGUUCUGCUACUGGCGGUCCUUGUCAGAUGCUGGGACUCCUGCUUUUGUUACUGAAUGUGGAAAAUAAAACUGUUAAGACUAAUUGAAGAUAAUGGGAUAAAAAUCUAUAGCUGAAAUCAACCUCCUCUACAUCAAUUAGAUGAAAGUAAUUCACUGAAAGUUAUUUGCUGGACAUGCAAUAGUCAUGCAGUGCCUGCUUGUGUAGCUUAAAAACACGCUACAAACAUUUUUAAACAUGAAGGUACAAAGUGAUUAAUAUAGAUAGAGACACUCUUCUAGGGCUGUGUGUGUGCGUGUGUCUCAACACACAACUUUGGCCUACGUGUGCACCUUAUUGUAAGACCUUGCAACGUCAAGAUAUUUCACAGGGUGAAAUCCCGCUUCCUGUGUGGCAGCUCCACACGGGACCAGAAAUCAUGCAGUCAGACUGACUGACUUUGGCUGACUGAGUUUUAAAGAGGAUCAAAAACCUUUUAGUAUAAAAAGAAAAAAAGGCUCUACCAUAUUGCAGUGGUCCUUUUAAGACCUCCCACAUGGCUGCUCUGAGUGACAGGUCUGACAUCCCUCAAAAUUCCCACAGCAUUCCAGCUAAUUACUUAGAAACAGAUAAACCCACCAAAAGCCAACCAGUAAGUAGGAACGUAUGCGAGGAGUGAUCUCAUCCUGGGUUUCUCAAGGAGACAACACAGACAUGGAAAAGAAAGACAGGCAAAAAGAGUAAUUGAUGGUUUUUAUUCCAUUUUCCUUCUUCCCUCCUUGUCCUUCUGUUUUGAUCAUUGGAAUUUCACAGUAAAUACACACUCUGUGAAAGAUAUUAGUGCAUGUUCACUGUCCAGGUAUUUGGUUUCAUGAAAUCACUGAACCUUAUUAGAAGCUAAAGCAUCAAAAUUUUAACAGGCAUUAUCCUGGAAUGAUAUUUAUACUAUUAGGAAUCUCUGGAAAAUUAAAAAACCAUAAUUGUAAGCAGUUGUUUAAGGGAAAGAUUUUCUGAAGUCAGUGGAC
rnacentral:lncRNA from 1 species